rnacentral:rRNA from 1 species
GACGAACGCUGGCGGCGUGCUUAACACAUGCAAGUCGAACGGAAAGGCCCUGCUUGCAGGGUGCUCGAGUGGCGAACGGGUGAGUAACACGUGGGUGAUCUGCCCCUUACUUUGGGAUAAGCCUGGGAAACUGGGUCUAAUACUGGAUAGGACCAUGCUGUAGGUGGUGUGGUGGAAAGAUUAGUUUCGGUAAGGGAUGAGCUCGCGGCCUAUCAGCUUGUUGGUGGGGUAAUGGCCUACCAAGGCGUCGACGGGUAGCCGGCCUGAGAGGGUGGACGGCCACAUUGGGACUGAGAGACGGCCCAGACUCCUACGAGAGGCAGCAGUAGGGAAUAGUGCACAAUGGGCGCAAGCCGGAUGCAGCGACGCCGCGUGGGGGAUGACGGCCUUCGUGUUGUAAACUCCUUUCAGCCAUGACGAAGCCCUUGUGGUGACGGUAGUGGUAGAAGAAGCACCGGCUAACUACGUG